UGGGGGAUAUUGCACAAUGGGCGAAAGCCUGAUGCAGCGACGCCGCGUGGGGGAUGAAGGCCUUCGGGUUGUAAACUUCUUUUGCUCUGAACAAGGCGCACCAUGGGGUGUGUUGAGUGUAGGGGUUGAUUAGCGCCGGCUAACUACGUGCCAGCAGCCGCGGUAAUACGUAGGGCGCGAGCGUUGUCCGGAAUUAUUGGGCGUAAAGGGCUUGUAGGUGGCUGGUUGCGUCUGUCGUGAAAGCUCAUGGCUUAACUGUGGGUUUGCGGUGGGUACGGGCUGGCUUGAGUGCAGUAGGGGAGGCUUGAAUUCCUGGUGUAGCGGUGGAAUGCGCAGAUAUCAGGAGGAAUACCGGUGGCGAAGGCGGGUCUCUGGGCUGUUACUGACACUGAGGAGCGAAAGCAUGGGGAGCGAACAGG
rnacentral:rRNA from 1 species